ACUCAAAUGAAUUGACGGGGGCCCGCACAAGCAGUGGAGAAUGUGGUUCAAUUCGAUGCAACGCGAAGAACCUUACCUGGGUUUGAAAAGCUAGUGACAUCCGAUGAAAGUCGGCUUCCCCGCAAGGGGCACUAGUACAGGUGCUGCAUGGCUGUCGUCAGCUCGUGCCGUGAGGUGUUAGGUUAAGUCCUGCAACGAGCGCAACCCCUGCACUUAGUUGCCAUCAGGUCAAGCUGGGCACUCUAAGUGGACUGCCUACGCAAGUAGUGAGGAAGGCGGGGAUGACGUCAAGUCCUCAUGGCCCUUACACCCAGGGCCACACACGUUCUACAAUGGAUGGUACAAAGGGUUGCCAAGCCGCGAGGUGGAGCCAAUCCCAAAAAACCAUCCUCAGUUCGGAUUGGGGUCUGCAACUCGACCCCAUGAAGCUGGAAUUGCUAGUAAUCGUGGAUCAGCACGCCACGGUGAAUACGUUCCCGGGCCUUGUACACACCGCCCGU
rnacentral:rRNA from 1 species